rnacentral:rRNA from 1 species
CCGCGCACUGAGACAGAGAGUCGACCCUACUUGGAAGCCGCCGCCCGCACCUCCCCCCGUGACCGUGAGCACGCAGAUCGGUCAGAGAGCGGAGAGCCCCGCUGCUCCGACACAGUCCCACUACCUCCCACAGCGCGCGAGGCAGGGGCCGAGGGCCGAGGACGAGGUGCGCCGGCCGGUCUGCCCCCCGAAGCUUGGGAGCCCCCGGGCGGGCGGCUUGGUCAGGAACGACCGGCCGCGACCAGCGCCCUUCUUCCUUGCGGUGCUCGCGCUCGCGCUCGUGGGAUGGGGGAAGGAAGGGUUUGGGGCGAGGUGGCAGGAUCCCGCUAGGAGGCCCCUCCGGCGUGAGGAUUCUGGUUACCGAGUGUUGGUGCGAUGGACAGCCUUCAGAGUGAUCCUUAUACAAGGAGCAGCUUGCAAAUGCAGCUCAUUGACACCACCACAUCCUUCGAAACUAGCAAUUUGGAUUUGGUCAAGCAUGAAGUUCCCACCCCUCAAGUUGGCAUGACUUUUGAGACAGUUGAUUUGGCAUACCAGUCUUACCUAGAGUACGGGUACCGCGCAGGCUUUGGAGUUUCAAAAAGAACUUCCCAUAGUGUUGAUGGGGUAAAAUACCGCGCAACAUUUGUUUGUUACAAAGGUGGCAUUGCUAGGAUUAAGCCUGGGCUUAAAGCUCGAAGAAGACUUGUUGCGAAGACUGGCUGCAAAGCUAUGAUGGUGGUGAAGUAUAACGCAAGUGAGAAUCAUUGGGAAGUAGUGUUUGUUGAGCUGGAGCAUAACCACCCAUGUAAUCCUGAAAUGGUCAGAUUCAUGAUGUGUUUUAAGGAUCUCCCUGACUGGCAGAGGGAGCACCGACCAUUCAAUGCGAAAACUAGAUUGAACCCAAAGAUUCAUUCUGGUAGAGGCAGGCCACCCAACCAAAACAAAGAUUUCAUGGUGAGGUCCUUCGCUCAGUCUAAUUAUUCAAUUGAAGCAGCUGCCAAGUGUGGGAAGCUGAGAUUUGCAGAGGGUGACGUUGAGGCAUUAUUAGUCUUUUUCGAUAAGAUGCAAGCUCAAAAUUCCAACUUCUUCUACAACUGGGACAUGGAUGAUGAAGGCCGGCUUAAAAAUGUUUGCUGGGUCGAUGCAAGAUCGAGAGCUGCAUAUCAGCAUUUCAGUGAUGUUGUCUGCUUUGAUACUGUUUAUUUGACAUACCAGUUUGUCAUUCCAUUGGUUGCUUUUCUUGGAAUCAACCAUCAUGGUCAAUUUGUAUUGUUAGGAUGCGGUUUACUGGGAGAUGAGUCUCCAGAGACUUUUUCAUGGUUAUUCAAAAAAUGGCUAAAAUGUAUGAAUGAUAAAGCACCUGAAGCAAUUAUUACCACCCAUUCAAGACCAGUAGUCAAAGCAGUCUCUGAGGUAUUCCUAAAUACUCGUCACAGAUACAACCUUUGGCACAUAAUGAAAGAGCUUCCUGACAUGUCUGGAAGAGUUGAGGAUAAGGAGGCAAUUAGCCUGAGAAUGAAAAAGGUAGUCUAUGACACCAUUACAGCAGCUGAUUUUGAGAGGGAGUGGGUUGAGAUGGCCAAUCAGUACAACCUUCAUGACAAUCGUUGGCUCACAACCUUGUUUGAAGAAAGGGCAAAAUGGGUGCCAGCAUAUGUGAAAGAUGCUUUCUGGGCUGGUAUCUCUACUGUUCGCCGCAGUGAACGGCUGGAGGCCUUUUUUGAUGGAUAUAUUACACCAGAGACCACAAUAAAGAUAUUCAUUGAACAAUUUGAUACUGCUAUGAAGCUUAGGUCCGAUCGAGAAGCCUAUGAUGAUUUCCGUUCUUUUCAGCAAAGGCCACAAGCCCUCUCUGGUCUGUUGUUUGAGGAGCAAUUUGCAAAUGCUUAUACGAUAAAUAUUUUCCAGAAGUUCCAGGAUCAGUUAAAGCAGCUGAUGAAUGUGACUUGCACUGAAGUCAGUAGGAAUGGAUCGAUAGUGACCUACACUGUGACCGUCAUUGGGAAGGAGAGGAAGUUUGACUAUAGAGUGAUGUAUAAUAGUGCCGAGAAAGAAGUGUGGUGUAUCUGCAGAUCCUUCCAGUUUAAAGGUAUUUUGUGUAGCCAUGCUCUUGCAGUCUUGAAGCAAGAGCUUGUGAUGCUAAUUCCUUCCAAAUAUAUUCUUGAUCGAUGGAGGAAGGACUAUAAAUGCCCUGAGGAAUCUAAGGAAACUCCCAUCCAACCAGAAGCAGCAAACCCAACAGGGAAGGGCUCAAAACCUGAAAAUGUCCGUGAUGAUAAAGUGGACAACCUCUACAACGAUGGCCACCAGUACUUUGCUGACAUUGUGGAAAUGGGAGCAACUGAUCCUGAUGCAAUGGAGUAUGUUUUGUCUGUGAUGAAAGAAGCUAAAGAGAAGGUACGCAAGUUUGAGGAAUCCCGAAAAGAGAAAAGACCUGGAGAAAGUCCAGUUUCUGCUAGUAAGAAAGGCGCCAAAUCUUCGAAGCCAUCUGCUGAAGAUGUGGGAAACAGCACAUCUGUCUCAGCACUUGCGAAUACAGCAAUGGCGACAGGGGCACCAACAAUGAUGGUGGCAGCUGCUUCAGCAACUCCGGUGUCAUCUACGCCAAUGCCAGUGCCGUCAUGUACACAAAUGCCAGUGCCGCCAACAAUGAUGGCUAUGGCUACCACGUCGGCAGCUGUCCCACCAGGAAUGUUUUUAGUACCGAUGCACCCACAUAUGGUUUUUCCACCCUUCACCCCUGGAUUACCAACAGCAGUACCACCUGUAGCGCCACCCCCAGCCCCGACAGCCAAUGCGGUGGCCGUUGUUUCCAACCCCACGAAGAAGAGAAAGAAAAGAAAGGGGAAUAAUUGAGCUUGGGGCACCGAUGAAGAUGAGCUGCACUUGGGAUUGCCUGCUGUACAUUAUCUCGCCCUUGGCUUGGAACCACUAAUCUUAGUUAGUGCAGGUUGGGACUGCCUACUGUACAUGAUCAGAAUUCAGUCGAAUGUAAUCUUAUAUGUAGCGCUGUUCUGAAUGUUAGUCUGCUGCUGAUCUCGCGGAUCAUGAUUUGGAGGAGCUUUGUGGUACAACCCUUGCAGACUCUUACGUUGCUGGAGAUUUCGCCAAAUUCUGUAAUCACGCCGUAUUUAUGUCCAGCCACCGAUGCUCGUUAGUUUCUUGUUGAGAACACCGGUAUGCUCAUCGUCAUAAGCUCAUCAUCUGUUAUGCUCUGGGUACCGAAGUAUGGUGGUGCAUACUGCAUAGGCAGCAUGGCAAUGACAUGGCUGGGCCUGCUACUGCAUGGUAAGGCAAUGGAUCGCCUGUUUUUAACCCCCAUUAUUUCUAGCAGGAAUGUCCAAAGUAGAUAGCUGUGAUCCGUUUUUGUUCUGAUUUUGGGUGAACCUUUGGUGGCCCUGAUACCUUUACUGUUGUGAUGCAAUGUAAUUUUUGGCGGUGAGGCUGAGAU